AUUGAACGCUGGCGGCAGGCCUAACACAUGCAAGUCGAGCGAGCGGCGGACGGGUGAGUAAUGUAUGGGGAUCUGCCUGAUGGAGGGGGAUAACUACUGGAAACGGUAGCUAAUACCGCAUACCAUCAGAUGAACCCAUAUGGGAUUAGCUUGUAGGUAAGGUAACGGCUUACCUAGGCGACGAUCCCUCGCUGGUCUGAGAGGAUGAUCAGCCGAACUGGGACUGAGACACGGCCCAGACUCCUGCGGUAGGCAGCAGUGGGGAGUAUUGCACUAUGGGCGGAAGCCUGAUGCAGCCAUGCCGCGUGUAUGAAGAAGGCCUUCGGGUUGUAAAGUACUUUCAGCCGGGAGGCGUUACCGACAGAAGAAGCACCGGCUAACUCCGUGCCAGCAGCCGCGGUAAUAC
rnacentral:rRNA from 1 species